CAAAGUCCCAAACUUUGAUCGAAAUAGGCAAAAACUAAGCAUACGUUUGAAGCAAAGUUUAUGAGUUUUAAUCACCGUCUUAUCUACUUACUGCCACUCUCCCUCCACCGUCCAAACUCCAAACUCCAAACUCCAAAUUCCAAGGUCCAAACAGAGAGAAUCUAUUCCCUUAUUUUUCCCGAUGGAAAGGGAGCCUUUUCUCGGCUCCCAAACAGGGCCCCAACACCAACUCCUCCAACCCACCCCCACCCCCACUGUUCAAAUCCCUGACUCUGAUGAUUUCUCUUUCAAAAUCUCUCCCUCCCACAGCGAGCCUAAUCUCCGCCACCUCCAACAACCCCACCAUCACCAUGUCCACCAACCAGACCCGCAGCCCUCCUCGUCAGGAGCCCCGAAUGCCAGCCAUCAGAAGAGACCCGGCACUCUCCACCGCUGCAGGACGGCCCCCGCCAUGGCCGUCAUGCGAGACCUCAAUCCACACCCAACAACCCAGGUCCCCAAACCACAAUCCGACUCCACCUCCAUCAUCAGGCAAGCCGUCUUCUUGCUCCUCGUCUACCUCUCCCUCGGCGUUGUAAUUUACUCCUUCAACAGGGACAAAUUCUCCGGUGUCGAAACCCACCCGGUCGUCGACGCUCUCUACUUCUGUAUAGUCACCAUGUGCACCAUCGGGUACGGUGACAUUGCUCCCACCACUCCCCUCACCAAGAUUUUCGCCUGCGUCUUUGUGCUCUUCGGGUUCGGUUUCAUCGACAUUUUGCUGAGUGGGGUUGUCAAUUUUGUCCUCGACUUGCAAGAAAAUAUGAUCCUGACCGGAAUUCAAAUGGGUCAGACUUCCCGGAAUCGUCGUUUCUCCGCCAGGAACUAUAUCGUCGAUGUGGCAAAGGGCAGGAUGAGGAUCCGACUCAAGGUUGGCCUGGCGCUUGGAGCGGUGGUUUUGUGCAUCGGCAUUGGGGCUUUGGUCUUGUGUUUUGUGGAGAAUUUGGACUGGAUUGAUUCUGUUUACUUGUCUGUUAUGUCGGUUACAACGGUUGGUUAUGGAGACAGGGCCUUCAAGACUCUCCAAGGAAGGCUCUUUGCCGCCGUGUGGCUUCUGUUUCGACAUUGGCGGUGGCCCGGGCGUUUAUGUAUUUAGCGGAGGCUAGGGUCGACAAGAGGCACAGGAGGAUUAUGAAUUGGGUUUUGCAUAGGGAUAUCACUGUCCAGGAUCUGCUUGCUGCUGACAUCAAUAACCAUGGUUUCAUCAGCAAGUCAGAGUAUGUUAUUUACAAGCUUAAAGAGAUGGGAAAGAUAGGGGAGAAAGAUAUACUGCAAAUCUGCGAUCAGUUCAGUAAGCUUGACCAGAACCACUCUGGGAAGAUAACGCUGCCUGACCUGUUGGCGCAUCGCUUGUAGUUUUGGUAAGGUUAAGUCUGGAUUCUGCUCUUUUCGUUCGAAGAAACAGACUCCUUUUCUCAUUCUGGUGAAAGCAUGGGGAAUGUUGAAGACAAAGGCCUUUGCGUUGUAUAUCCUAACAAACUAUUCUUUGAAGAUUUAUGCAUUGCAUAUAAGCUUUGCCUUGCAAAAGAUGAAGUGGAUAGACAUUAUUCUACACCGAGCUGCUGUACGAGGAUUAUAGAAGAACGUGAAGUGCAUAGACAAUUUGUCCAAAGUAAAGUUAGAAUCUCUUCCUUUUAUUUCUAUUUUCCCUUAUGAUACUGUAAUUGAAACAAAAAGGAAUCGAGAAAAAAGGAAGGCCAUGUAAUGACAUUGGCACGCACACGGGUUCCCCGUUCUUGCAUCUUGUAAUCGGAGAUACAUAUACUCUCCUGAAUUCAUUGAGUAGUCUGAUAUACUUUCUUUCCUUAUUCAUGCCCCAUUUCUUGUUUUGAUACCAUAAUCCUAUUUUUUUGUUUGCUGAAUUGAAGCUGAUAUAGUUUCCUGGUUCA